AACUGUUCGGGAAACAUAGAAAUAAUUAAUAAUUUUGAAGAAGCAAGCAACAUAACAACAACCCUGAAUCAGCGGUGAAAAGUAAAAAUGUCUAAUUCUAAAUUGAAGAGGAGAAGGGUCGACGAUGAAGCAAGAAAGUUCCAAGAACAGUGUACUGAAAAUGAUUUCUUUGUGGAAUAUGAAGAUGUAGCCCCUGCAAUGGUAGGUUCGCACAAUGGACUCGUUGCUCGUAUCAGGAAAAAAGGAGGCGAUUGACAUCUUUGUGAAAGAGAAGGGAAUGCAAGGGGAGGAUCUGUCUGAUCAUCAGUGAGUUAUGGAUCGUGCCUUUUUGGUUAACCAUAACACGAAAUUACAGGGCAAAAACCAUGUGAUUUCCCAUUUGUAUGAUGCUGUCAUAGACUUUGAAACCAAGCUUAAACUUUUUGCCAUGCAGUUACAGAAAUCCAACUGUGUACAUUCCCUUCCCUCAAAGAAUUCGCUGACAAAAAUGCAACUCUCGGAACACACAAACUAUGGAAGAUAUGAAGAAUACGUGCUGAGUCAUCUGGCUGCGUUCCAAGGCAGGCUUCUGGUCUUCAAAUCCAAAGAAAACAACAUCCAUGUAUUUUACAAUGCCAUUUUCUGUAACUUAAAGACUUGCCUGAAAAGUUUCAGCUUGAAUUAAUUGAACUGCAGUGAUCUAUGGAGCUAAAGGACACAUUUAAUAAAGUUGCCCUGCUGGAGUUUUAUGCUAGUUAAGAUGCCCGCUUUCCUAACCUGAAACAGCAUGCACAGAGAAUAUUCACUGCAUUUGGAAGCACAUACAUUCAUGAACAAACAUUUUCUCUGAUGAAAGUCAACAAAUCCCAGCACAGAAUCUGUCUCUGAUACUCACCAGAGAGAUGUUUUGACUGUUUCAGUGUCUAAUCUGAAGGCUGAUGUCAAACAAAAAAGUCUCACUGAAAAGUUAGGUGAGUACUCUUGAAUUUCAUGUUCAUUUUCAUUUUAAAUUUGUAUUUAUUAAACACUUUGAAAUGCUUAGUUUCUAAGAUUGUUAGAAACAGUAACUAA